CUAGUACUGCUUCUAAAUCAGUGAUCAGUUCAUUCUUUAAGAUGUCUGCGAGUAGCAGUAUAUUGAGACACUCGUCUACUGCUGCUAGUUCAGUUACAUUAGAGUGCAAGGGAUCAGUGGCCAUCAUUGAAAUGUGUAAAGGAGAGAACAGGUUCACUCCAGCCUUCUUCAAAGAAUAUUUCAAAGCAUUGGACGACAUAGAGAGUAAUAAAGAUAUAAAAGCAUUGAUCACAACUGGUGAUGGCAAGUUCUAUUCUAAUGGACUAGACCUAUACUACUGGAUGCAUCUCCAAUUAUUGAGCCAACAGAGAGAACAGGGUUGACAUUGUUCUUAGACUCUAUCACAUACAUUGGAAUUGUAAUAUCUCUCGUUUGUCUCACUAUCACUGUAACAACAUACCUAUCAAGCAAGAAACUACGCACAUCAGAUCAUGGUCAACUUCUCCUUAACUUAUGUUUUGCAUUAAUGGGCCUAUAUAUAUCAUUUAUUGCUGCAUUGCACAGUAGACAUGCUGAAUCAUUCUGUCUCUUCUUUGCAACUGUUCUACAAUACUUU